rnacentral:tRNA from 1 species
GGCUGAUUGGCGCAGUGGUAGCGCAACAGAUUCCAAUAGAAGGUGCUAUCUGGAGGUCGGGAGUUCGAAUCUCUCAUCGGUCA